GAUGAACGCUGGCGGCGUGCCUAAUACAUGCAAGUCGAGCGAACGGACGAGAAGCUUGCUUUUCUGAUGUUAGCGGCGGACGGGUGAGUAACACGUGAUAACCUACCUAUAAGACUGGGAUAACUUCGGGAAACCGGAGCUAAUACCGGAUAAUAUUUUGAACCGCAUGGUUCAAAAGUGAAAGACGGUCUUGCUGUCACUUAUAGAUGGAUCCGCGCUGCAUUAGCUAGUUGGUAAGGUAACGGCUUACCAAGGCAACGAUGCAUAGCCGACCUGAGAGGGUGAUCGGCCACACUGGAACUGAGACACGGUCCAGACUCCUACGGGAGGCAGCAGUAGGGAAUCUUCCGCAAUGGGCGAAAGCCUGACGGAGCAACGCCGCGUGAGUGAUGAAGGUCCUCGGAUCGUAAAACUCUGUUAUUAGGGAAGAACAUAUGCGUAAGUAACUGUGCACAUCUUGACGGUACCUAAUCAGAAAGCCACGGCUAACUACGUG
rnacentral:rRNA from 1 species